rnacentral:rRNA from 1 species
CAGUAGCCGCGGUAAUACGUAGGUGGCAAGCGUUGUCCGGAAUUAUUGGGCGUAAAGCGCGCGCAGGCGGAUAGGUCAGUCUGUCUUAAAAGUUCGGGGCUUAACCCCGUGAUGGGAUGGAAACUGCCAAUCUAGAGUAUCGGAGAGGAAAGUGGAAUUCCUAGUGUAGCGGUGAAAUGCGUAGAUAUUAGGAAGAACACCAGUGGCGAAGGCGACUUUCUGGACGAAAACUGACGCUGAGGCGCGAAAGCCAGGGGAGCGAACGGGAUUAGAUACCCCCGUAGUCCCUGUCUCUUAUACA